GACGAACGCUGGCGGCGUGCCUAAUACAUGCCAGUCGAACGCUGAAGGAGGAGCUUGCUUCUCUGGAUGAGUUGCGAACGGGUGAGUAACGCGUAGGUAACCUGCCUGGUAGCGGGGGAUAACUAUUGGAAACGAUAGCUAAUACCGCAUAAGAGUAGAUGUCGCAUGACAUUUGCUUAAAAGGUGCAAUUGCAUCACUACCAGAUGGACCUGCGUUGUAUUAGCUAGUUGGUGAGGUAACGGCUCACCAAGGCAACGAUACAUAGCCGACCUGAGAGGGUGAUCGGCCACACUGGGACUGAGACACGGCCCAGACUCCUACGGGAGGCAGCAGUAGGGAAUCUUCGGCAAUGGACGGAAGUCUGACCGAGCAACGCCGCGUGAGUGAAGAAGGGUUUCGGAUCGUAAAGCUCUGUUGUAAGAGAAGAACGAGUGUGAGAGUGGAAAGUUCACAAUGUGACGGUAGCUUACCAGAAAGGGACGGCUAACUACGUG
rnacentral:rRNA from 1 species